AUGGAGCCCCCUGAUUUUGGGUGGCCGGGUCCUGCGGCUCCUCCUGCAGGGAUGCAGCCCGAGGAAGCCAAGCGGAGCUCCGGGGAGCUGCUCACAUCCACGGCCUUCAGGCGCUUUGGCUCCGCUCUGUCUCCGGUCCAUCUGCCCCCUGCAAGCUGCUGCCUUCGCCUUCCAAGCGUUACCUGUGCUCAGAGGAGCCCAAAUUUCCAUCCUGCUCCCUCACAGAGCCUUCCACCGAGAGGCAGGGAUCUGGUCCAUGGCCCAGCUCCUCGCCGGGCUCGGGAGGAGCAGCAGGGCCCAGAAGGACCGGCUCCAUCUGUGCUCCCGCAGCGAUGCCGGCAGGAGGGCGCCUUUAAUCGCUGGAGCCUUUCCAUGUCAGCACUCGGUGCCACGGCCGGGAGUGACGGACGAGCUGGGCCGAGCUGGGCAGACACCAAACAGGUGGCAGCUCUGGAGGGGGGACAUCACAUAACCACGAGUGCCAAAAACGACCCAAACACGAGACUUCAUCCCAGCCAGGGCUCUUGGCUGCCUUUGGCAAAGGAUUCUCCUUGGAUAGGGAGGGAAAAUGGGGGAGACCCCCCCAGGCCAGCCCUGAGCUCCAGCGUCACCGCUGCGUGUGCCAGGGCUGCAGGACGAGCGGCACUGGCUCCGGGAGGGAGAGGCAGCGCUAAGGAUGCUCUGAUGAGCCAGACAGUGAGAGAGACCAGCACCGAGACCUGCGCCCUUCCCUGUGUCCCAGCGGGGAGGAACAAGGACACAGCCUGCGGCAGAAGACAUUUUCCAACCAUUUGCAGAAGCAGCCGGGGAAGGGAGGCGCUGGGCAGGAGCCUGCGGAGCGCCCGCCACUCACACAGAGAGACGAAGGAGAUGGCCCCAGGAGACAGCUCCACGUGCCAGCCAGCUCCAGGCACCUCACACCUCUCUUCCACACCUCUAAUGAUCAUCCCCACCUCCCUUGGUCUUCAGGGUGGUGUGUGUCACGUCUGGCAGCUCUGUCCUGUGACAGGCUCCAGCUGGGGGGGAGUGGAGCAUUCCAUGCCAAGCAGCACGUCCUCCCCUGGCCCUGGCCCUUCAGGGCCUUGCCUACAGCCCUGGAGAACAGACCAAAUCUUCCUGACAUCCUUCUUCUUCUCCAACACCUUCCUCACUGCAAAAGGGGACGUGCUGAGAUACCUCACCCCAGGGCACAGCUGA
rnacentral:lncRNA from 1 species